CAGGACUUGUGCCAGACCUUCCAUGUCUCACACAGUACCUGACAUGAGCAGCCAAGAGCAUCUGUAACCAUGCAAAUGGCAUAACCCUCCAAAAGGGAUGAAGUGCCUCUCAGACUCAGACCAGAGCUCCUGGUAGGUGUCCUUGGGAUGGAGAAACCACAAGGCUAGCAGCACCCACCACACCUGCAUACACUGUUUCCGUAUUACCUUUACUAUUUCUCCUGGUAAUACUUCUACUGAUGGGGGUAAGGCUGCUUUUCUGAAGCCCGGGUAGCAUUAAGGAGAUGCCAUAAAACCUGUGGUUUUUCAGCCUGGACUGUAGUAAGGAGAUUCCCACACGCUGGUGAGAAAUUUCCUUAGAGUUGUUGUUCAUUCCAGGCAACAAAAUCAAUGUGAGCCUGAUGCAAGCCCUGAUGGGAGAGAUCCAAGCGAUUUCUGCUGAAGAGCCGUUUCUGUCAUUGAUAAUGGACUGGAAAAAAAGCAUCAGUGCAUCAUCCAAAGUGUUUAAUCGCCUGUACUCAUCGUGGUCAGUCAAGCACUCGGCCAUUAUAAUGAAGGGUUAGAAGUUAUCUAUAGAAUAAUCAAUGUAUCAUGUACUGCACUAAGAAUGUUCCUUUUUUUUCCCCAUCAAGACUAGCUUUGGCAGUUCAAUGGGCUAUGCAUGUUAUGAAAUAUUUUACACACAUUCUGUACUUUCUGUCCACCACUUCUUCUGCUGGGUAGCCCCCAUCUCUACCAGCCUCCUGUCCCUGCUUGGGCUCUGUUGCUGGUGGUCCAGGGAGCUAUGCUUUAGCAUAGGGCAGGAUUUCUGGAGUGAAGUCAAGCAAGAAGAGACCGAGAGGAACAGUGCUUGCAUGGAAAGGUAGAAAUCAUAAAAGAGAAAUGUUUGAUGCCAUCCAGGUGUUGGUGCAUCCAUCAAUGAUGAGAGCUCAGCAGCAUCUAGGAUCUAUGCAGGUCAAUGACUGUGCCUUUGGUUAGCUGAGGAGCUCUUCCAACCUGAGCUGCAUUCUGUGCUUGUCAGCCAGUGACUAAUUGGUGGAUCAGUUGCUGCUUGCAGUCUUCUUACACCUGGCUACAGAAGCUGGAUGAGCUGUAGCCAAUCCACUGCAUAUUGUCUGAGAGCAUUCUCUGCCUUCAGUCCCUCCCUAGAAAUUGGUACCCAACUGUUUUCCCUAAAGUUGUUUGAGAAAGAUUUGCCUCCUGUGAAGUGUCACCAUGGAAGAGGAAGGAUGACCUGGCUGGUGCCCAUCUGGUGUCACAUUCCUGGCUUCUGACCUCGAGGUGGGCAGUGCUGACUGCUGGGACUUCAGUAGGAACGAGCAAACAAGGUGCUUCUCUUUACAAGUGUUGGAAUUGCAGCUCCUUUAUAAAUAAUUGUGUUUAGCAGCUGUUAUGUCUAAAUGGAGAGGGAGGGGAACUCUUGGGUUACAGAUAUUUUUCUUAGGAAGUCCCAUUAAUGAUCCCUUCCCUUUCCUUGCAGCCUUUCCUGCCCCUUCUGGGUUGCACCAGAGCUCUCAACCACCUCAGCUUUUAAAUUCUCAUUGCAGAUCCCUCCAUCUGCCUCUGCAGCACAGGGAAGUUGGCAGCGUAGCGGCAUAACCCAUAAGGUGGAUUUAGAAAUGUUUUCAGCUAAAUGGGUUUGAUUUUAUCAUUCUAGAUGACCUCCACUCUCCAACACGUUGCUGUUAUCAGGUGCAUUGUGGCUGCUAAGAGAAAUGGGACUCAACCAUUCUGACAGUGGUAAGGGGACAAGUCCAGAUUUUGAAUAUUUUGUUCCUUGCUCAAUGCGUUGGAGCAUUUUCCCUUUGUUCCUUUAUGUAAUGGGAAGUAUUUGUUCAAUACUAUCCUGAUAAAAGUGCAAUGCAAACUUCGUGUUGGAAAUCAAAUGCUGGGGUGGAUCAAUCUCCCGAUCUCAUUCAACUUUCAGCGUGUCAAGCUCUAUUAUUCUCGAAACACUUUGACAGUUGCAGACUAGAAAGACUUCAAUUACCUUUAGAAAUGACCCUCCUCGCUGUAGGAUGAGCUCGUUUCUGCUGACACCACGUGCUGGUUGCACAGCAGGGUUUGGUGGCCAGGAUGCUGAUCCCAUGGCAUGGCACUGAGACCAACGUGCCCACACAGGGCUGCUGCUGCCCUUUCACUGCUCUUGCAAGGCCAUUCUAUGACUCUAUGAAAAUAGCAAAAACUGGAUGUGGGCAGGAGCAGGUAACUGUGUGCUGAAGAAAUCAGGUGUUUGGGGAUUAAAGAAAUCUCCUAAUUGUUACACUUGAGGAAGAUGUGAAAAAGUUCUCCACUUCCUACUGUUUCCAAGGUAUGCAUUGAUAGGUGCUUUCUAGGAAGUGGAGGCCUAUUUUACUUUCAAGCUGUACUACACACCAUGCCUGUGUUACUUAGGAGCCUUAAGUAAUUCUGAAUGUUCAAUCUGGCCCUUCAAUUACGUAGAAAGAAAAUUGUAAAUGUUUUUAUUAUAGUCGUUGCUGUGGCCAUUGGAGAGGGGCAGGGAGCGGUGGUGGCCCAGGUGGGCAUCAGAAACCCCGAUGGACCCAGCACCGCCAUUGUGACUGACAGGUCUUUUCCUUGCUGAGGGACGCUGUGUGAAGAAGAUCCAUCUCUCCAGUGAGGUUUUGUUCCUUUUUCCUCCUGAUGUCCCGUGGCAUUUUCCUCGUUGCUGCUGAGGCACAUUUCCCAGCGAGGGAGGUCCUGUCACACAGACGUGAGCUACCACGGGUUUGUUGUGCCCUUUGCUGGUGGCUGACAGGAAAAGAGCAUUACUUGCAGUUCUCUGAUGUUAAGAACGUUCCUCUUCAAACUGCGAUAUAAUUACUGUGAUGACCAACGUUUGUGCAGCUCUUCAUUUCUGGGGACAUCCGUUUUGUGACAGCUCCUUUCUGACAGCGUGUGCUGACAGGAACAGCUUGAGCUGUCCUCCACAUCCUCCACAAAUACCAGGUACAUCUCAGGACGCUUUGUCAUAUGGCAUCUUUCCUACAGCUCAAGGUGUGCUGUGGCCCUCACAGCUGAUGAGCAGAUGAUGAAUAACAGCAGCACCUGCCUUUGGGCUGCAUUAAAAGAGGGGUGGUCAGCAGGGAGAGGGAGGUGAUUGUCCCCUUCUGCUCAGCUCUUGUGAGGCCCCGUCUGCAGUACUGCGUCCAGGCCUGGGGCCCCCAGCACAGGAAAGAUGCAGAGCUCUUGGAACGGGUCCAGAGGAGGACCACUGAGAUGAUCAGAGGGCUGGAGCACCUCUCCUGUGAGGAAAGGUUGAGGGAA
ensembl:lncRNA